rnacentral:rRNA from 1 species
UUACUAGAGCAAAGGAUAGACAGCGCCCGCGGAGCUCGCUCCCGGGGCUACCCUACUCCCGUAGGGUUUAGAGUCGUCGGGCCUCUCGGAGAAGCUCGGUCCUGAACUCCACCCUUGAAUAAACUACCUUUGUUGCUUUGGCGGGCCGCCUCGUGCCAGCGGCUUCGGCUGUUGAGUGCCCGCCAGAGGACCCCAACUCUUGUUUUUAGUGAUGUCUGAGUACUAUAUAAUAGUUAAAACUUUCAACAACGGAUCUCUUGGUUCUGGCAUCGAUGAAGAACGCAGCGAAAUGCGAUAAGUAAUGUGAAUUGCAGAAUUCAGUGAAUCAUCGAAUCUUUGAACGCACAUUGCGCCCUCUGGUAUUCCGGGGGGCAUGCCUGUUCGAGCGUCAUUAUAACCACUCAAGCUCUCGCUUGGUAUUGGGGUUCGCGGUUUCGCGGCCCCUAAAAUCAGUGGCGGUGCCUGUCGGCUCUACGCGUAGUAAUACUCCUCGCGAUUGAGUCCGGUAGGUCUACUUGCCAGCAACCCCUAAUUUUUUUAAGGUUGACCUCGGAUCAGGUAGGGAUACCCGCUGAACUUAAGCAUAUCAAUAAGCGGAGGAAAAGAACCAACAGGGAUUACCUCAGUAACGGCGAGUGAAGCGGUAACAGCUCAAAUUUGAAAGCUGGCUCUUUUAGGGUCCGCGUUGUAAUUUGUAGAAGAUGCUUCGGGUGUGGCCCCGG